rnacentral:rRNA from 1 species
AUUGAACGCUGGCGGCAGGCCUAACACAUGCAAGUCGAGCGGAGCGGCGGACGGGUGAGUAAUGACUAGGAAUCUGCCUGGAAGUGGGGGAUAACGUCCGGAAACGGGCGCUAAUACCGCAUACUAUCAGAUGAGCCUCUGUCGGAUUAGCUAGUUGGGGGUGUAAAGGCCUACCAAGGCGACGAUCCGUAACUGGUCGUAGAGGAUGAUCAGUCACACUGGAACUGAGACACGGUCCAGACUCCUACGGGAGGCAGCAUUGUGGAAUAUUGCACAAUUGGCGAAAGCCUGAUCCAGCCAUGCCGCGUGUGUGAAGAAGGUCUUCGGAUUGUAAAGCACUUUAAGUUGGGAGGCGUUACCAACAGAAGAAGCACCGGCUAACUCCGUGCCAGCAGCCGCGGUAAUUC